rnacentral:lncRNA from 1 species
UGAAAGCAACGAAAAAUUUUCAAGUGUACACAUCUAUUGUGAUCCUGAUAACUCACAGGAAUGAUACUGCUGAAAAUAGAGACUAGGAAUCAGACAGAUGUCCACUAAAGCCUGAGGUCAUUUUUUUCUGAUGGCUAAAAAGGAUGUUUAACCCCUAAGUCCUUCCUUCUUGAAAUCUUUGGUCUGCUUUAUUUUAAAUGUUUUGUUUUAGUUUUUAAUAUGACAUAAUUUGCAUUAGGCAUCUGUAAGGCUUUUAUCUGCUCAUUGCCUAAAUCUUUCAUCUGUAUGGGGACUGCAUUAAGCUCAUCCUGAAUAAUGGCCUCUAUUAUUUAAAUCCAUUAUUCAAAUUCCAUUUUUCUAAGAAGCUAUCACUCCUAUUCCAUCUGCAAAUAUGAAAACUUAAAUGUAAAGGUCCCUCUUCAAAUUUUCCACAGGAAAAAAACAUGUCAUCCAUUUAAAUGCAUGCUUCAGGCACUGCACAUUCUGUAAGAAGGCGAUUUUAAACAACCUAUUUCUAUUUAAUGUCAAAAUUGAGAUUUUAAAAAAUUUUGCUGAUUACAAAAGUAAUUCAUAUUUACUGUGAAAAAGAAAAUCAAACACUGAAGAAUUUGAAGUAGAAAGUAGCUACCCAAAAUUCUAUCCAAAAUUGCUAUAACCCACAGAAACAUUGUUUUAUCUCUAUAUUUUUCUAAAUGUUGAAAUAUUAAAAUCAUGACUAUUUACACAAAUUGAAUCAUAUGAUUCUGUGGCAGACAAUUUUCCAAAGAUGGUCACAACAAUAUCCCUCAUCCUGCAUGCUUUUCUGCAAGUUCCUUGCCACUCUCCCAUCAAGAAAUGUUAUUUCGCCACCUCCCUGAAUCUCAGCAGGACUUUGGAUUGCUUCAAUCAAUAGAAUAGAGCUGAUACAACGUUAUACUAAUUCUGUGUAUAGCCUUUAACUGGCCUGGCAACUUCCACUUCCUGCUUUUCGGAAGUCAUCCUAAAACCAUGUGUGGACAGAAAGAGUCCAUAAGACCUAAAUGUCCUGGAAGGUGAAGUCAAACCAUUGAGAAAAUUACCUGGAGAGUCUUCCAGAGGCUGAGACUUCACCCUAUUGGUUUUUACGCUUCUCAGAGCCAGGAGCAUCCCAGAUGCAGAGUCCAGAACUGGGAGGAUGUGGUACUGAGGGAGCCCAGAGCGGAUGGAAUAACAAGGAAGGGAUUUGCCUUCCUGCUUGAAGCAUCUAACGAAUCUGACAAAGUAUAUUAAAGAAAGUGUCUCAAGACACUGGACAUCAGCUUAAAGGAAGACCCAAUAGGAUAAAAUUGUUUUCAAGUCACUUAACUGCAUCCUAGAAUGAACUCAAGUAUAUUUAUAGGAAUACAAUAAUGUACAGCCCUCAACAAGAGAAAUUUCACGAAGCUUGGCACACAUUCAAGAAUAACGAGGCAUGCAAAGAAGUAGGACAAAUGCAACCAUAAUACAGAGAAAAGCCAAUCAAACAGACCCAGUAAUGACACUGAUGAUGGAGUUAGUAGACAAGGCCAUUAAAACAGUCAUUAUAACUGCGUUCCAUAUGUUUGAGAAACUUGAACGUGAUAAGUAGAGACAUGGAAGAUAAUUUUGUUGCCUGGGCUUACCCUUCAGACUCUGCUUCUUGAACAGUGUCAGUGGCUGUAAUCUCAGUUCAGAUCUUUCAUCUUUAACUGAGCUGCUUUGAGUCUUCUGCAUAGGUGUGGUUUGAGAGUCGGUCAGACUGGGUACACAGAAUGGCCCCCACCACCGCAAUUCUCUUCAGUGUUCAUAGUAGUCCAGCUUCAAUUUUCUGGUUCCCCAGGCCAGAAAGAAGGGAUGCUUGUUUGUCCACAUGCACCCCAACAGCUGCUGUGUGCACUAUAUGGAGCCACAGAGAUGGGACCUUUCCUGGGCAACUUCUCAUCUCCCCUGUCCAAGUACACUGGAACCAACUGGAAGAGCACUAAAUUGUCAAAGCUGGAACAUUUUGAGCAACAAAAUAAAUAAAGUAGUAUAGAGUGAUA